GCUUGACUGUAGCUUGUAAUUGGAAUUCGGGCUUUUUUUGCGCAGACUAGGUGGGAGGCGAUGAUGAUUUUUCUUCCGGGAAAAAUUUUAGCCAUUCCGUGAGAGACCACUCUGAGAAAGCUAGAAUCCUAAUGAUGAUCCUUGAAUCAGGACAUUUGACAGUUGCAGGUGGGCAGUUUUACUGGGGCGGUAUGCCUCCUAAAAAGUAACGGAGGGCGUGCAAAGGUUCCCUCAGCUGGACGGAAAUCAGCUUAAGAGUGUAAAGGCAAAAGGGAGCUUGACUGCAAGACCUACAAGUCGAGCAGGGGCGAAAGCCGGCCUUAGUGAUCCGACGGUACCACGUGGAAGGGCCGUCGCUCAACGGAUAAAAGUUA
rnacentral:rRNA from 1 species